GAUGAACGCUGGCGGCGUGCCUAAUACAUGCAAGUCGAGCGAACGGACGAGAAGCUUGCUUCUCUGAUGUUAGCGGCGGACGGGUGAGUAACACGUGGAUAACCUACCUAUAAGACUGGGAUAACUUCGGGAAACCGGAGCUAAUACCGGAUGAUAUUUUGAACCGCAUGGUUCAAAAGUGAAAGACGGUCUUGCUGUCACUUAUAGAUGGAUCCGCGCUGCAUUAGCUAGUUGGUAAGGUAACGGCUUACCAAGGCAACGAUGCAUAGCCGACCUGAGAGGGUGAUCGGCCACACUGGAACUGAGAAACGGUCCAGACUCCUACGGGAGGCAGCAGUAGGGAAGCUUCCGCAAUGGGCGAAAGCCUGACGGAGCAACGCCGCGUGAGUGAUGAAGGUCUUCGGAUCGUAAAACUCUGUUAUUAGGGAAGAACAUAUGUGUAAGUAACUGUGCACAUCUUGACGGUACCUAAUCAGAAAGCCACGGCUAACUACGUG
rnacentral:rRNA from 1 species